rnacentral:rRNA from 1 species
UACGGAGGAUGCAAGCGUUAAUCGGAAUUACUGGGCGUAAAGCGUGCGUAGGCGGUUCGUUAAGUCUGUUGUGAAAGCCCCGGGCUCAACCUGGGAAUGGCAAUGGAUACUGGCGAGCUAGAGUGUGUCAGAGGAUGGUGGAAUUCCCGGUGUAGCGGUGAAAUGCGUAGAGAUCGGGAGGAACAUCAGUGGCGAAGGCGGCCAUCUGGGACAACACUGACGCUGAGGCACGAAAGCGUGGGGAGCAAACAGG